rnacentral:tRNA from 1 species
GUCUUUGUGGUGUAGUGGUCAGCGCGCUCGACGCGUAUUCGAGAGGUCCUUGGUUCGAGCCCCGGCUUGGGCA